GAUGAAGAACGUAGUGAAAUGCGAUAAGUAACGUGAAUUGCAGAAUUCAGUGAAUCAUCGAAUCUUUGAACGCACAUUGCGCCCCCUGGUAUUCCGGGGGGCAUGCCUGUCCGAGCGUCAUUACAACCCUCAAGCUCAGCUUGGUGUUGGGCCCCGCCGCCCCGGCGGGCCCUAAAGUCAGUGGCGGUGCCGUCCGGCUCCGAGCGUAGUAAUUCUUCUCGCUCUGGAGGUCCGGUCGUGUGCUCGCCAGCAACCCCCAAUUUUUUUCAGGUUGACCUCGGAUCAGGUAGGGAUACCCGCUGAACUUAAGCAUAUCAAUAAGCGGAGGA
rnacentral:misc_RNA from 1 species